CAGUAUAACGGUGUUGACUGCGGGGAUCAUUAACUAUUGUGGGAAAAAGACGUAAAACAUCUUUUGACCAUUAAAAUCAUCCAUAAUGUGGGUCAAACCACAUGCGCAAUGUUUUAUAAGGUGUUAUUUAGUUAGCAUCUUUUUAUUUGUAAUAUGGCCUUAAAAAAGCCACAUUACUAAUUUUUUUAUACUAAAUUAACUGAAAAAACGAUUGACCAUAAUUUAUGGUUGUUUAAACAAUAUAUUAACUUAUAUAAAAACAACUUUCAGCAAUGGAUCUCUCGGCUUUCGUAUCGAUGAAGAACGCAGCAAAUCGCGAUAUUUAAUGUGAUCUGCCUAUAGUGAAUCAUCAAAUCUUUGAACGCAUCUUGCACCCUAUGGUAUUCCGUAGGGUACAUCUGUUUCAGUACCAUUCAAACAUCUCCCUCACUCCUAUUUUUUUAUUAAAAGAGAGAAUGAGAUCAGAGAUAAAUUAUAAAUGGUCCUGGGUAAGCUGUGUAUCAAGUCUUUUGACUUUUUACCUGACGGAAUUUUAUCACUACCCGCCCUUAUAUCUUAGCGUAUAAGCUCGGUGCUAGGAGUUAAAAGCAUAGUAAAGAACCUAACUUGCCUUUGUCAGCCUCCUUCCAUUUUAUCACUACCCGCCCUUAUAUCUUAGCGUAUAAGCUCGGUGCUAGGAGUUAAAAGCAUAGUAAAGAACCUAACUUGCCUUUUGUCAGCCUCCUUCC
rnacentral:rRNA from 1 species